AUAUUGGACAAUGGGGGCAACCCUGAUCCAGCCAUGCCGCGUGUGUGAAGAAGGUCUNNNGAUUGNACAGCACUUUAAGUUGGNAGGNAGGGCUUUAGGUUAAUACCCUGAAGUUUUGACGUUACCAACAGAAUAAGCACCGGCUAACUCUGUGCCAGCAGCCGCGGUAAUACAGAGGGUGCAAGCGUUAAUCGGAAUUACUGGGCGUAAAGCGCGCGUAGGUGGUUCAGUAAGAUGGGUGUGAAAUCCCCGGGCUUAACCUGGGAACUGCUUUCAUAACUGCUGAGCUAGAGUACGGUAGAGGGUAGUGGAAUUUCCUGUGUAGCGGUGAAAUGCGUAGAUAUAGGAAGGAACACCAGUGGCGAAGGCGACUACCUGGACUGAUACUGACACUGAGGUGCGAAAGCGUGGGGAGCAAACAGG
rnacentral:rRNA from 1 species